rnacentral:sRNA from 1 species
UAUCAUUUCAUCCACCCUCUUCAGAGAGUGAUACUGAGGACUAGUGAGGCUGUGACUGGCCCAAGGUCACCCAGGCUAGGCUGGAAAUCAGGCCUCAGCUCUCGUUGACAGCUGUUCUACCUCACCUCACCUCCUCAGUCUUCCCUUGGGAAACCACAGGCCAGGGAGAGGCAGGAGUGUAAAAUCCACGAUGGGCGUGCAGCGCAGAGCUGGCUCCCAGCAUCUCAUGUGCCUCAUUUCAUAUAGAGUCACCAAACUUUCCUCCAAGGCUUAAAAACACAGAUCCUUCCUCCUUUUUGAAAAGCCGCUACUCUGGGGAGGAUGGAGUUGGGACUCCCGGGUGCUUGCCUUGUGUGAUCAUGGUUUUGAAGCUCAGGGUCAGGGUCCCUGCAUCCCGUGGCAGUGGCCAGGGCUUGUCAGCCAAUGUUGCCUUUCCCACAGGAAAAGGCUGAGGAGGUGUAUCGUCUGUAUCAGAGCUCGCCCCUCUCCUCGCACCCCGUGGUGGCCCUGUCAGAGCUCAGCACCCUCUGUGCUAACUCCUGCCCAGAUGAGAGGACCUUCUACUUGGUGUUGCUGCAGCUGCAGAAGGAGAAGAGGGUCACAGUCCUCGAGCAGAACGGGGAGAAGAUUGUGAAGUUUGCCCGAGGGCCACAUGCCAAGGUCUCUCCAGUCAAUGACGUAGAUGUUGGGGUGUACCAGCUGAUGCAGAGUGAACAGCUUCUCUCGCGCAAAGUGGAGUCCUUAUCCCAGGAAGCAGAGAGGUGUAAAGAAGAAGCCCGCCGGGCAUGCCGAGCAGGGAAGAAGCAGCUGGCACUGAGGUCUCUCAAGGCCAAGCAACGGACAGAGAAGCGCAUCGAGGCCUUGCAUGCCAAGCUGGACACUGUUCAAGGCAUCCUGGACCGGAUCUACGCCUCCCAGACAGAUCAAAUGGUUUUUAAUGCCUACCAGGCUGGGGUAGGAGCGCUCAAACUCUCCAUGAAGGAUGUCACAGUGGAGAAGGCAGAGAGCCUCGUGGAUCAGAUCCAGGAGAUUUUGACAGUGAAGAACUGGAGAAGGAAUUGGACAUCCUCCUUCAGGAUACCACCAAAGAACCUUUGGAUCUGCCUGACAACCCCCGCGAUAGGCAUUUUACGAACAGUGUGCCUAACCCUAGGAUCUCAGAUGCUGAACUUGAAGCUGAACUUGAGAAAUUGUCCUUAUCAGAGGGAGGUUUGGUCCCAAGCGGUAAAUCUCCGAAAAGGCAAUUGGAACCGACUCUAAAGCCAUUGUAGGACCCUCAAGUGAAGGACCGUCAUGUAAAAGAGAGACCAGGCUUGCUGGGUGUGUACAUAGUUAUUUAAACAAGAAACUCUCAGAAUAUGUUUGGAAGAGGAGGAAGGAGAAGUACUGAUUUUAUCUGGAUGCUACUACUUACUACGGGACAGAUAGAAUUUCUGGAAGCGAUGCUCCAAAGGCUUGCUCCCAGCUGUAUCAUGGACCUGCCUUCUCAUCUUUCUAGUGCCACGAUUUAUACAGUCCCGUGUCUGACCUGUCAUUUCAUAGCCUGCAGUUCUUGCCAUUGGCACACUUAGGUUUGUCUUCACCCACCAGCUUCGUUCCAGCCCACGAAGGGGAAAGAUUUGCAGCUUUGCCAAAUCUGAAUCAGUUCCCACUUCCCCCUGCGGUUUUUUAGAGGGGUUUAUCCUGUCGCUAAUGUCAGUUAAAUAACUUAUUCCUGUCCCACUUGAUUUCACUGGUAAGAGAAGAAUGAGAAUGAAAUACUUCAAGGUUUUAUUUGAGGGGACUUAGCUGCCAUUUUAUGGAGAAACAUGUAGUAUAAAAGGUUUUUCUCUAGGGUCAUUUGUCAGAAUUCUCCAGGUGUUCAGAGAAAGAGGUCGCCCCAAGUGGCCCAGAGUCGUGACAGUCUGGAGGGGCUGGUGUGGCCGGUGGGCACUGCCUCUUCAUCUGAUGGAGCAGGAGGUCUGCCGGUGGGGGAAAGGCUUCUUCCAAGGCUUCUGCACUCGCCUAGGAAGAGGCCCAGUCACUACAGGACCCUGAGAUGUCCAGACCCCUUAUGCUUUUCUAAAGAGGCAAAAUUGUUGCCUUGGCCCCAUCAUGGAAUAACUUAAAAAUACAUAUCUAUCUUCCAGAACAAGCCACACAACAACACACCUCCCCGCCUUGAGCCUGGCACACAGCACUGGGCUCUCUGAAUUUGGAAAGCGUUUCACUUUGUGGCCUACUGCUCGGGGCAGGGGGGCUGAGCCAGGAUGUGCAAUAGAGCAGGGGCUGUGCCCUCUGCCAGAUCUGCCGGGAGCUGCCCGGGCCACCCGUGCACCUGUCCUGCUUCCUGCAGUCCCCGCUCCCUGCCUCCUUUGAGGGACUAGGGAGGGUGGGGUAGGGGGACAGACGGGAAAGGGUCUGAAUGCUCUGGCAAUGGCGAGAAGAAACGAUCGCCACACUGUCACUCUGCUGCCCAGCCACCAGGAUUUCUGCCUGGAGCCCUUUGCCCUGUCCCUGCUGCCUGAGGUGGCGUAGAGCAGAGGAGAAGAAUUUGCUCCAGGCCAGGAGCACAAAUCAUUGUUCAAUGAAUUUCUCUCCAACUCGACCUUGGUAAACGGAAAUGUUGGGGGUGAAGAGAAACAAUCACUAUUUUUUUUCUUUUUUAUCUGGUAAAUAAUUAAAAGAAAAACCGAACACUUG